rnacentral:rRNA from 1 species
UACAGAGGGCGCAAGCGUUUUUCGGAUUCACUGGGCAUAAAGAGCACGUAGGCGGCUACGUAAGUCGGAUGUGAAAUCCCGCGGCUCAACCGCGGAAUGGCAUCCGAUACUGCGUGGCUCGAGGUCGGGAGGGGUGAGCGGAACUCCAGGUGGAACGGUGAAAUGUGUAGAUAUCUGGAGGAACACCGGUGGCGAAGGCGGCUCACUGGCCCGAAUCUGACGCUGAGGUGCGAAAGCUAGGGGAGCGAACGGG